rnacentral:tRNA from 1 species
CGCGGGGUGGAGCAGCUUGGUAGCUCGUCGGGCUCAUAACCCGAAGGUCGUUGGUUCAAAUCCGGCCCCCGCAACCAAAA